rnacentral:rRNA from 1 species
GUCCACGCCUUAAACUAUGGAUACUAAGUGUCGGCGGUUUACCGCCGGUGCCGCAGCUAACGCAAUAAGUAUCCCGCCUGGGAAGUACGGCCGCAAUGUUGAAACUCAAAGGAAUUGACGGGGCCCGCACAAGCGGUGGAGCAUGUGGUUUAAUUCGACGCAACGCGAAGAACCUUACCCAGGCUGGACAUGCAGGUAGUAGAAAGGUGAAAGCCUAACGAGGUAGAAAUACCAUCCUGCUCAGGUGCUGCAUGGCUGUCGU